rnacentral:rRNA from 1 species
UACGUAGGGAGCAAGCGUUGUCCGGAAUCAUUGGGCGUAAAGCGCGCGUAGGUGGCCUCAUAAGUCCGCUGUGAAAGUCAAAGGCUCAACCUUUGAAAGCCGGUGGAUACUGUGAGGCUAGAGUACGGAAGAGGCGAGUGGAAUUCCUGGUGUAGCGGUGGAAUGCGCAGAUAUCAGGAGGAACACCAAUAGCGAAGGCAGCUCGCUGGGACGUUACUGACACUGAGGUACGAAAGCGUGGGGAGCGAACAGG